rnacentral:rRNA from 1 species
AUGGCUGAGCAGGAUUUUGCAACAAAGCUCUCGCUACGGAAAUUCAUGGCGACGGCGCAGCAUGUAACUCUAGAUCAAAGGCAGCUUGCCCGUAGCAUGGGCCUGGAUCAUCUGCUUGACCUAAAAUGUGAUACUCUGCCGCGCGGUGUCGUUCAUUAUCUGGCAUCAAACUUUGAUGUACCCUCAAGGGCUAUUGAACUCCCCAAUGGGUUCAAGUUCACAAUCACACCCUACUGCAUACACCAGGUCCUGGGGAUACCACUUGGCGGAAAAACCAUAGAGAAGAAGCAAAACCCAGCACUUAGAUCACUGAUUGCUCAGCAGACAAAAUGCAAAGGAAACUACCCGACCAUAAACGAGCUGGAUAACUUGAUACAACCUGGGCUAGAUGGAGAUUCAUUCAAAAGGAUUUUCACAAUGUAUGCGCUCACCGUGCUCCUCUGCUCUUCAAGCCAUGGGGCUGCUAGUCCAGAUUACUACCACAUUCUGGAAGACCCUGAACAGAUUGGCUCAUUCGACUUCUGCACGGCUGUCCUUGACAAGCUUGUGGCGUCAAUUGAUAGCUACAAGGCUGGAGCCACAACGGUGCUCGGCGGGGAUCUCUUAACACUCACGAUCAUAUACUUUGAAUUUCUUGACACCGACAUCAUGCCGGUCACAAGCAAGCGGCCACGGAUUUCACUUUGGACGUCUGAAAUUGUAGCAGAAUAUGAAAGGCGGGACUGCACAAGCAGCGAUAAAUUGCUUUACGGCAGGCUCCCGACAAAGCAUGUGUCGGAAACACCCUUCGGUCAAAUCAACACACAGUCAAAAGUCACACUAGGUGCCUCGUACGAUGAACUCCUGCAGUUCACCCUCUCAAUUGUUCCAGAGGAAAACCACCAGAUGGUUUUAGACGAGCUUCCAAAGAUUAUGCAUAGCAUGCAGAACGAGCUUUUUGAUUCAAUGCAACAUGUACUCGCCAAGAACUUUAUGAACCUGCUGAAACUGAUGCCGUCAAUGCAUUCUUCAUCGCCUAGCAAAAAACAGAAUAGCACAGACAAAGAUUCAAGUUGCGUGCCCAUUUCAGUGGCUCCGACGGUUCCUUGUGGUAGCCACUUCAGCUUGCAAAUGACAAGUACCACACUGGCUGAAGGAAAAGAGGAUAAUCCUGAAGGAAAACAGGGGCAGAAUGUGGCUCAGGGCAGGAAACAGAGCACCACGUUUUUACAGCUGAAGAAACAAAGCCAUUGUCUGAAGUACAAAGGAAGAACAACAAAGCCCCCGUACCCGUGCUCUUGA